UACAGAGGGGGCAAGCGUUAUUCGGAAUUAUUGGGCGUAAAGGGCGCGUAGGCGGCCAGGCAAGUGGAAGGUGAAAUCCCUCGGCUUAACCGAGGAACUGCCCUCCAAACUGCUUGGCUUGAGACCGGGAGAGGUGAGUGGAAUUCCCAGUGUAGAGGUGAAAUUCGUAGAUAUUCGGAAGAACACCAGUGGCGAAGGCGGCUCACUGGCCCGGUACUGACGCUGAGGUGCGAAAGCGUGGGGAGCAAACAGG
rnacentral:rRNA from 1 species